rnacentral:rRNA from 1 species
UACAGAGGGUGCUAGCGUUGUUCGGAAUCAUUGGGCGUAAAGGGCGUGUAGGCGGUUUGUUAAGUCAUGUGUGAAAUCCCUCGGCUCAACCGGGGAACGCGAUGAAACUGGCAGCUAGAGUACCAAAGAGGGGGUGGAAUUCCCGGGUGUAGCGGUGGAAAUGCGUAGAUAUCGGGAGGAACACCUGUGGCGAAGGCGGCCCCUGGUUGGAUCUGACGCUGA